CCCAUUGCACGGGUGACGGGACAGAUGAAGGAACCAACGGUGAAAUAUAUACACCCACGAUCAGAAUUAUGGGGCAUUUCCGUUAUUCUAAUUGAGCUAAAUGGCAGUUUGCUACCAUUACAAUUUACAAACAUCUCUCUCACUCCUUUAUUUAUUGCCUCUGAUUUCCGAUUUUUAAUUUUAACCUCUUAAAUAAAUAUUUCGCGUUAGUCUCAGGCUUCUCUCUCUCUCUCUCUCUCUCUCUCGUGUUCUCUCACUAGAUCCCUCUUUCCAAAGCUUUCUUCAGGUAAAUCUUACUCUGUCAUCUACCUUUAAUUUUAUGCAUAUCUCAUAAAGUUUUGUUUUCCUCCUUAUUUUUCUUCGUAAAAUUCUCUACUGAUAUAACAUUUUUUGUGAGUAAUUUCGGCUGCAUCUACCAUUUCCAUCUGCUUUUCCUUUGAUUUUGCGGUUAUCUAUCUCAGAUUUAUGCUUUUUAAGCUUCCGAUUUGAAUUCCUGUAUUUUUUUUCUGUGAAUUUCUGUUGUCUGAAGGUUGAUACAUGGGACCUGCUCUGGUCUCUGGGAAAUUGUAUUAUCUAAUGGUUUGAUUCGUGAAAUAUUGAUCUAGAUCUUAGGCUUUGGUGGACAGAGUUACCGGUACCUGUAUCAAUAGCCGGUGGAAUAGUCAUUGCGAUUUUAUUUUGUUCUUUUUACGUCUAGUUCUGUCAAUUUUGCUUUGGCUCAUUCAGAUCCGUUUCUAGAGUAGCUGCAUCUUUUCGUACUGUUGCAUUACUUGAUAUUUUUUGCAUAAUUCAAUGGCUCUAUGUACGUAGGGAUCCUUAAGAAGAAAGAGAAAUGGGGCUGACAUUCACCAAGCUU
rnacentral:lncRNA from 1 species